UACCCUGAAACGGGUGGAUCACUUGGCUCGUGGGUCGAUGAAGAACGCAGCUAAUUGCGCGUCAACUUGCGAACUGCAGGACACAUGAACAUCGACAUUUCGAACGCACAUUGCGGUCCUCGGACACAGUCCUCGGACCACUCCUGACUGAGGGUCGGUUUCA
rnacentral:rRNA from 1 species